UACGUAGGUGGCAAGCGUUGUCCGGAAUUAUUGGGCGUAAAGCGCGCGCAGGCGGUCCUUUAAGUCUGAUGUGAAAGCCCACGGCUCAACCGGGGAGGGUCAUUGGAAACUGGGAAACUUGAGUGCAGAAGAGGAAAGUGGAAUUCCAAGUGUAGCGGUGAAAUGCGUAGAGAUUUGGAGGAACACCAGUGGCGAAGGCGACUUUCUGGUCUGUAACUGACGCUGAGGCGCGAAAGCGUGGGGAGCAAACGGG
rnacentral:rRNA from 1 species